rnacentral:rRNA from 2 species
CUGGUGUCCGCCGCCGCGGUAAUACCAGCACCCCGAGUGGUCGGGACGAUUAUUGGGCCUAAAGCAUCCGUAGCCGGUACUGCAAGUCUUCCGUUAAAUCCACCUGCUCAACAGUUGGGCUGCGGGGGAUACUACAGCGCUAGGAGGCGGGAGAGGCAAGCGGUACUUAAUGGGUAGGGGUAAAAUCCACUGAUCCAUUGAAGACCACCAGUGGCGAAGGCGGCUUGCCAGAACGCGCUCGACGGUGAGGGAUGAAAGCUGGGGGAGCAAACCGGAUUAGAUACCCGGGUAGUCCCAGCUGUAAACGAUGCAGACUCGGUGAUGGGCUGGCCUUGUGCCAACCCAGUGCCGCAGGGAAGCCGUUAAGUCUGCCGCCUGGGGAGUACGGUCGCUAGACUGAAACCUAAAGGAAUUGGCGGGGGAGCACCACAAGGGGUGAAGCCUGCGGUUCAAUUGGAGUCUACUCCGGGAAUCUUACCGGGGGGCGACAGCAGAGUGAAGGUCAAGCUGAAAACUUUUACCAUACAAGCU